GAUGAAGAACGCAGCGAAAUGCGAUAAGUAGUGUGAAUUGCAGAAUUCAGUGAAUCAUCGAAUCUUUGAACGCACAUUGCGCCCCUUGGUAUUCCAUGGGGCAUGCCUGUUCGAGCGUCAUUUGUACCUUCAAGCUCUGCUUGGUGUUGGGUGUUUGUCUCGCCUCUGCGCGUAGACUCGCCUCAAAACAAUUGGCAGCCGGCGUAUUGAUUUCGGAGCGCAGUACAUCUCGCGCUUUGCACUCAUAACGACGACGUCCAAAAGUACAUUUUUACACUCUUGACCUCGGAUCAGGUAGGGAUACCCGCUGAACUUAAGCAUAUCAGCGGAGGA
rnacentral:misc_RNA from 1 species